rnacentral:rRNA from 1 species
UACGGAGGGUGCAAGCGUUAUCCGGAUUCACUGGGUUUAAAGGGUGCGUAGGUGGGCAAGUAAGUCAGUGGUGAAAUCUCCGGGCUUAACCCGGAAACUGCCAUUGAUACUAUUUGUCUUGAAUACUGUGGAGGUCAGCGGAAUAUGUCAUGUAGCGGUGAAAUGCUUAGAUAUGACAUAGAACACCAAUUGCGAAGGCAGC